UGAACGCUGGCGGCAUGCCUUACACAUGCAAGUCGAACGGCAGCGCGGGGCAACCUGGCGGCGAGUGGCGAACGGGUGAGUAAUAUAUCGGAACGUACCCUAGAGUGGGGGAUAACGUAGCGAAAGUUACGCUAAUACCGCAUACGAUCUAAGGAUGAAAGUGGGGGAUCGCAAGACCUCAUGCUCCUGGAGCGGCCGAUAUCUGAUUAGCUAGUUGGUGGGGUAAAGGCCUACCAAGGCAUCGAUCAGUAGCUGGUCUGAGAGGACGACCAGCCACACUGGAACUGAGACACGGUCCAGACUCCUACGGGAGGCAGCAGUGGGGAAUUUUGGACAAUGGGCGAAAGCCUGAUCCAGCAAUGCCGCGUGAGUGAAGAAGGCCUUCGGGUUGUAAAGCUCUUUUGUCAGGGAAGAAACGGUGAGUUCUAAUACAGCUUGCUAAUGACGGUACCUGAAGAAUAAGCACCGGCUAACUCCGUGCCAGCAGCCGCGGUAAUACGGGGGGUGCGAGCGUUGUCCGGAAUCACUGGGCGUAAAGGGCGCGUAGGUGGUUUGAUAAGGGUGUGGUGAAAGUCCGGGGCUCAACCCCGGAUCUGCCGUGCCGACUGUCAAACUCGAGGACUGUAGAGGCAGACGGAAUUCCGGGUGUAGCGGUGGAAUGCGUAGAGAUCCGGAGGAAGACCGGUGGCGAAGGCGGUCUGCUGGGCAGUUUCUGACACUGAGGCGCGACAGCGUGGGGAGC
rnacentral:rRNA from 1 species